UACAGAGGUCUCAAGCGUUGUUCGGAUUCAUUGGGCGUAAAGGGUGCGUAGGCGGCGCGGUAAGUCGGGUGUGAAAGUCUUGGAGCUUAACUCCGAAACUGCAAUUCGAUACUGCCGUGCUUGAGGACUGGAGAGGAGACUGGAAUUUACGGUGUAGCUGGUGAAAUGCGUAGAUAAUCGUAAGGAAGACCAGUGGCGAA
rnacentral:rRNA from 1 species